rnacentral:rRNA from 1 species
UUUCCUACGGGUGGCAGCAGUGGGGAAUCUUCCGCAAUGGGCGAAAGCCUGACGGAGCAACGCCGCGUGAGUGAAGACGGCCUUCGGGUUGUAAAGCUCUGUUAUAUGGGACGAACGUAUCUAUGGCCAAUACCCAUAGAUAGUGACGGUACCGUAAGAGAAAGCCACGGCUAACUACGUGCCAGCAGCCGCGGUAAUACGUAGGUGGCAAGCGUUGUCCGGAAUUAUUGGGCGUAAAGGGCGCGCAGGCGGCCUGUCAAGUCUGUCUUAAAAGUGCGGGGCUCAACCCCGUGAUGGGACGGAAACUGGCAGGCUGGAGUGUCGGAGAGGAAAGCAGAAUUCCUAGUGUAGCGGUGAAAUGCGUAGAUAUUAGGAGGAAUACCAGUGGCGAAAGCGGCUUUCUGGACGACAACUGACGCUGAGGCGCGAAAGCCAGGGGAGCAAACGGGAUUAGAUACCCUAGUAGUCAA